CAUUACCUAGAGUUGUAGGCUUUGCCUGCUAUCUCUUACCCAUGUCUUUUAAGUACCUUACGUUUCCUCGGCGGGUCCGCCCGCCGAUUGGACAAUUUAAACCAUUUGCAGUUGCAAUCAGCGUCUGAAAAAACUUAAUAGUUACAACUUUCAACAACGGAUCUCUUGGUUCUGGCAUCGAUGAAGAACGCAGCGAAAUGCGAUAAGUAGUGUGAAUUGCAGAAUUCAGUGAAUCAUCGAAUCUUUGAACGCACAUUGCGCCCCUUGGUAUUCCAUGGGGCAUGCCUGUUCGAGCGUCAUUUGUACCUUCAAGCUCUGCUUGGUGUUGGGUGUUUGUCUCGCCUCUGCGUGUAGACUCGCCUCAAAACAAUUGGCAGCCGGCGUAUUGAUUUCGGAGCGCAGUACAUCUCGCGCUUUGCACUCAUAACGACGACGUCCAAAAGUACAUUUUUACACUCUUGACCUCGGAUCAGGUAGGGAUACCCGCUGA
rnacentral:rRNA from 1 species